rnacentral:lncRNA from 1 species
AGAGCAGCGCAUAUAUUCACAGAAAGAAUAUAGGUGACUUAAAACUUCCCCGGCAGAACUUCACUGAAACAGCUCUGGAAAGAGCGGUGACAGUUAACCAGAUUUGUAGACCUUCCCACGUACCCUUAUGGACAGAGUCAAACAUGGAGCUGUUGGCAAAGCAGAAAUGUGGUCUGCAGAGUUUGAGCCCCAGUGUCACAAAGCAGAGUGUAAAAGGGUAAAUAACAGCUUACAAGCAGAAGUCACGAAGAUCUUACUGAAAAUAACCAUAACAUAAUCUUUCAUCUAAAGACUUUCCUGGCUCCUCCUGUAUAGUGCUUUACUUUGCUGAACUUGCAUACACACCAGGUUAAUUUAUAGUUGGAGAAAA